AGCGAACGCUGGCGGCAGGCCUAACACAUGCAAGUCGAACGGGCACCUUCGGGUGUCAGUGGCAGACGGGUGAGUAACACGUGGGAACGUGCCCUUUGGUUCGGGACAACUCCGGGAAACUGGAGCUAAUACCGGAUAAGCCCUUCGGGGAAAGAUUAUCGCCAAAGGAUCGGCCCGCGUCUGAUUAGCUAGUUGGUGAGGUAAUGGCUCACCAAGGCGACGAUCAGUAGCUGGUCNGAGAGGAUGAUCAGCCACACUGGGACUGAGACACGGCCCAGACUCCUACGGGAGGCAGCAGUGGGGAAUAUUGGACAAUGGGCGCAAGCCUGAUCCAGCCAUGCCGCGUGAGUGAUGAAGGCCUUAGGGUUGUAAAGCUCUUUUGUCCGGGAAGAUAAUGACUGUACCGGAAGAAUAACGCCCCGGCUAACUUCGUGACAGCCGCCGCCGUAAG
rnacentral:rRNA from 1 species